UCGAGACUUGCUGUUUUGGUUUUAUUACUGCUAACUUCAUUCAAACAAUCAGUUAACAGAUAGCUUCACAGAUUUAUUACGUUUGUAAGUGCCAAAAAAAACUACAAGAAAAUUUCCUCCAUUCCCCAAUUUCCUUCUACUUUCACAAAGCUACAAUGAGAAAAGGAAACUUUACGUUAAAAUCAUCAAAUGCAAUGCUUUCAACGUCAUAAAUCAGAAUUACAAUAUCUAGGAGACUAUAACAAUAAUUGGAUGAAGAAACUAUUGCCUGAAUGAAACCAUAAAUUUAUUAUUAUCAACUACAUAAACCAGAAAGAUGGGGCAAAAUGAAAUAUAUAUAUAUAUAUAUAAGAAAAGAAAUCUACUUUCCCAUCGGGCUAAGACGCGGCAAUUUGAAUCUAGCAUAAAAUACAUCAAAAACAGUGUUCAUUCUCCGACCCCAAAAGGAAAAGCAGAAUAAUUUAGAGGCGUGACAGAAUCCAUUAAGCAAGAGAAUUAUGGGUUUACGCGCAUUGGCAGUUAAAGAAUUACAAAAUCAUAAAGACCCAGGAAAAAACAAAAACACAGCAGAUCUGACCAUAGAAGGAAAAAAAUCCAAAACAUUAAGUAACUCUACACCACAUACAAAAAGUAAAAUAAAGAAAGUGGAGCUCUCAUGCAGUGUUUGGUUGCUGAGAAAACGCACGAUGGAGGACAGAAAUUUGAAAUUUUCAAAUCUCAGAUCUCUCCAGCCAACCCAACCUAAACACAUCCAUUUCAGUGCCUCAUUACCUCAGGUUUUUCAAAAUCCAAAAUCAAAAUCGAAACCUCAAACCGGAUCAAAGAUGAAAUUGAGAGAAAAGAAAACUUACUCCAGCAAGCGAGAGAGAGAGAGAGAG
rnacentral:misc_RNA from 1 species